ACUGAGAAGAACAGUAAAAUGCCUGGACAUGCUAGGGUUAUCACCUAUUUGGGGAAAUCCUAAGCCUUUGAAACACACGGCAAGGAAAAACUGACCUUACCUGAAAAAUACCUUACCCUGAAAAAUAAUGUAGCUGUGUUAAAAGAACCACAGGCAUGGAGAACUGUGAUGAGGUUUGCAGCUGGCAGGGGAGUAUGACAGUGCGGCCACAUGCGUCUCCAUCUUUCCUUUGGCAACCAAAUCGAGACUCACAUGAAACAACUCUGGGAGUUAGCUGAUGGCCUGAAAUGCAGAUCUGGCAUUCUUUUCCUCCCUACCCCCUUCUCAGCCGGUGAUUUGACAACAAAAACUGAAGCGGGUGUAUGUCCCAUUUCUAAGAACAUAUAUUUUCAAAAAAGUAUUAUUUAAUGAUGUGGCUAUUUUGAACUAUGAUUAAUAUAAGUACAUUUAAGAUAUAACAUUGGCAAGUUAGAAAACCACCAAGUAAGGCCAGAUGUGUAAACUGACUUGAUGUUUAAAUUUAAAACACCAGCAUCAGACUGAAAGGUCUGUUAUUCUAUGAGUCAAAUCACAGAGAAUUCAUACACAAAUUAUGCUUACCUGUUAUUCCCGGAACCUAGAAAGAAUUGCCUUUUAAAGGUAUCAUUAACUAAUCUAUACAUCAUCAAGAUAAGUGGAUUUUGUUAAAAAUAUUGAAUUAUAGAAUGAACUUUUGAUUUCAUGGUAGUCUUGACAACACUUGAGAAUCCAGUUAUGUUCUAGAAACUGUACUACAAAUUGUGUUAUGCUUUAAAUUAUUGUGAGAUAUGUAAAAUUGUUGCUAAAUUACUGUUAUAUUCUUUCCUGAUUUAGCUUUGUUCACUAAUACCUAGAUAUCCCACCCCCAUCAAUACUGUAGGAACUCUGUAGAACUCUGUCAUUUCAGUUUUAUUGGACAUUACCACGACUACUUCCAGAUCAUGGAGAAAGGAAUGAGCAAAGUUCAUUAAGGGGAACUAGCACAUAAUAUCAAGUAGAUAUUCUAAAUGCACUUCAGAGAAGAAACACGUUCCCACUACCCAUGCACCUACUAGCAUUCACUUAAUGAGUAUAAAAACCUGUGUAUGGUCCUUUCACAUUUGUUAGAGUUAAUAAUACUCUAUUAAUAAUAACUAAUAAUAAUACUCUAGCUUUUCAACCAUUUACUAUCACCAUUUCACAGACAAGAAAACACAGUCCUGGGGAUCCCGAGCAGACCUGGGGCUCAAUACCCACCCAUUUCCAGACACCUACUCAUCUAAUAACAAGAACAAGUGCAAUUACAGAUCCUACCUGGGGAAAGGUGUAGAGUAGCCCACCCCAUGAAAUAAACAUAAAAUGAAAACAUAAAAAUAAAAAGAAUCCAUGGCUUAUCAUUUAUCAGGCAUCUUAUUAUCUUUGGAAUAUUAUAGAAUAAAACCCUAUCAGAAUGCUGCCAUUGGCCUAUGCAAUAAAAUUUUGUCCUGCUGCCUGGCAAAAGCUCUUCAAUUCUAACCAUUUAAGAGAAAACUAUGUCUUUUACAAGUUAGUGUUCUUUUUUACAGCAUAUUUUAAACAAAUUAUAUUAUGUAAAUUUUAUCUAGAAGUGUAUUAUUCUUUUUAAGCAAUUUUAUAAAAAGGCUUCUUGAGUUGGU